rnacentral:rRNA from 1 species
UACAGAGGGUGCAAGCGUUGUUCGGAAUUAUUGGGCGUAAAGCGCGUGUAGGCGGCUUUGCAAGUCGGGUGUGAAAGCCCUCGGCUCAACCGAGGAAGUGCGCCCGAAACUGCAGAGCUUGAGUACCGGAGAGGAUGGCGGAAUUCCCCAAGUAGAGGUGAAAUUCGUAGAUAUGGGGAGGAACACCGGUGGCGAAGGCGGCCAUCUGGACCGGUACUGACGCUGAUGCGCGAAAGCGUGGGGAGCAAACGGG